AGUGCACAUCAUUGUACCUACCAUGCUAUUAUUGGUUGAGAUAGAUUCUUAGGAACUUUUUACCCAGGUUGGCAGCUAACUCGAUCCUUCUUCUUUCCACCUGAUUAGUAACUAGGAUUCUGAGUGUGAGUUGCCAGCAUCUGGCAUCUGGGUUUUAAGUGAUUUGUAUCGAGAAUUCCAAAGUAGAGAGAGCCGAAGAAAUUAGAGAACCAGGUAUGAGUAGUUGGAGAUUAAGGCUGGAAAUGAUGGAUAUGUACUUUAGCUUGACUUAAAACUGAGGAUGAAUUACAGUCUUAAGAUCCACACACUCUUCCUUUAGAAUCCAAUGCUAGAAAUCUGCUGUGUCUGCUUUUACAAUAUAUUGUAAAGGUACUGGGAAUAUUUUUGGAGAUAGGCCUUUGGAAAAUGUAUUUAAGAACUAGUAACUUCUCCAUGAUGUGGGAUGAACCCAUAGUUGGGUGGAGAGCAUUACUAGAAUAGGUAGGAUGGGUUGAUAUACUUUAAGAUAAAAUUGUGUCUUUUAUAAAGCACACAUGGGAACUGUGUCUCCUUGACAUUUUUUAAAGCAUUUCUCAGAAAAUGUGAAAGUAGAGAAAUACUCUUAACCACUAAACAUUGUCAGAACACAGAUGUUCUGAGUAUGCACUGAGAGAACUAGAGGGCUUUAAAUGUUUUUUUCAUUAUUUGAAAGUUUACAUAUGAAUGUGUUUAUGUUAUGGUUACAUAAUAUUACAUGUAAUUGAACUUUGUUUCCUACUGUGAGAAAUAUUUACUAGGUUCCAGUGUGCAUACUUUAAGCCCUAAAAAUUAAUGCCUAAUUUGAAUUUUAUUAUUUUAAAAGUACCUUUGACGUGAUCUUACAAUCAAUUAUAGCAAGAUAAUAUGUAUCAAUAUAUCAAAAAAAGGUCAUUGUUUUCCACCCGAGAGCACUUAUAUUUAAGCCAUUUUCUGUUGUGUCCAUCUCAUUUGUGGUCUUUCCACUAUAAAAUAAAAAUAAAAAGGGAUUUCUCUAAAAUGCAGUUUUUGAGAAUCUCCUUGAGUAUAUAGAGAACAUUUUUAUAAUGCUUUUGAAUCGACAAGAGAAACACUGGAAAUGUUGAUGGCAGCAGCUGUUACAGAAACUUAUGUCUACAAAGUAAAAAGUUAAAAAUUUAGCAGAUAUAUGACUUUCAAAUGUGUUGUGUGUAUAAUCUUUGGACUGUCUUCGGAGUACAAUGUAUAAUAUAAUUCUAACCCUGUACAGUUGCUAUUAAUUUUGUUUUAAACCUGAAAGUGUUAACAGCAACUUGAAAAUGUGACAAAGCUCAAUUUCUUUUUCUUUUUCUUUCUUUUUUUUUUUUUGUUUAUUACUUGUUUUCCUAUUGGACAAUUGAAAGUAGCUCUAACCCGGCAACUAAAAUAGGCUAUUUGCAUAACCUAGUUUGAUUGGCUAACAUUCUGACUAACAGUUCCAAUCAUGUGGUGCGGGUUUAGUGGUAGGCUAUGCUAAUUAGCCGCUGUUGCUGGGUUGGGAUAGUUUCUGUGUGCUGUUCUGCUGCAUUGUGCUGCCUAGCUAGAGACAUUGAUGGAUGAGAGUUUAAUGAUCUGCAGCAGUUCCCACUCACUGCGGGCAGGCGGAUUUUAGAACAGAAGUGGAAACAAGGGUUUAACUGCUAUGUUAAAUAUCUGUAACCAAAAUAUGCGUAUUAAAUUAUAGAAAUUAAGAGUUGUAAGAAAUCAUUAAUUAAGUAGCAUGUAACAUAAGACACUUGAUUUGCCUUUUAAGAUGUAACUCAAAUAACACAGGUUUUCUAAAACCAUUCAGCAAAAUUGAUCAUUUAUUCCAAAUUAGGAAAAUUAGUACUACUGCC